rnacentral:rRNA from 1 species
GACGCACGCCGGCGGCGUGCUUAACACAUGCAAGUCGAACGUGAUUUUUGUAGAAAUUCUUUCGGGAAUGGAAAUGAAAUGAAAGUGGCGAACGGGUGAGUAACACGUGAGCAACCUACCUUACACAGGGGGAUAGCCGUUGGAAACGACGAUUAAUACCGCAUGAGACCACAGAAUCGCAUGAUAUAGGGGUCAAAGAUUUAUCGGUGUAAGAAGGGCUCGCGUCUGAUUAGCUAGUUGGAAGGGUAAAGGCCUACCAAGGCGACGAUCAGUAGCCGGUCUGAGAGGAUGAACGGCCACAUUGGAACUGAGACACGGUCCAAACUCCUACGGGAGGCAGCAGUGGGGAACAUUGCACAAUGGGGGGAACCCUGAUGCAGCGACGCCGCGUGAGCGAAGAAGGUUUUCGAAUCGUAAAGCUCUGUCCUAUGAGAAGAUAAUGACGGUAUCAUAGGAGGAAGCCCCGGCUAAAUACGUGCCAGCAGCCGCGGUAAUACGUAUGGGGCGAGCGUUGUCCGGAAUUAUUGGGCGUAAAGGGUACGUAGGCGGUUUUUUAAGUCAGGUGUGAAAGCGUGAGGCUUAACCUCAUUAAGCACUUGAAACUGGAAGACUUGAGUGAAGGAGAGGAAAGUGGAAUUCCUAGUGUAGCGGUGAAAUGCGUAGAUAUUAGGAGGAAUACCGGUGGCGAAGGCGACUUUCUGGACUUUUACUGACGCUCAGGUACGAAAGCGUGGGGAGCAAACAGG